rnacentral:rRNA from 2 species
CCCCGGUAAACGGCGGCCGUAACUAUAACGGUCCUAAGGUAGCGAAAUUCCUUGUCGGGUAAGUUCCGACCUGCACGAAUGGCGUAAUGAUGGCCAGGCUGUCUCCACCCGAGACUCAGUGAAAUUGAACUCGCUGUGAAGAUGCAGUGUACCCGCGGCAAGACGGAAAGACCCCGUGAACCUUUACUAUAGCUUGACACUGAACAUUGAGCCUUGAUGUGUAGGAUAGGUGGGAGGCUUUGAAGUGUGGACGCCAGUCUGCAUGGAGCCGACCUUGAAAUACCACCCUUUAAUGUUUGAUGUUCUAACGUGGACCCGUAAUCCGGGUUGCGGACAGUGUCUGGUGGGUAGUUUGACUGGGGCGGUCUCCUCCUAAAGAGUAACGGAGGAGCACGAAGGUUGGCUAAUCCUGGUCGGACAUCAGGAGGUUAGUGCAAUGGCAUAAGCCAGCUUGACUGCGAGCGUGACGGCGCGAGCAGGUGCGAAAGCAGGUCAUAGUGAUCCGGUGGUUCUGAAUGGAAGGGCCAUCGCUCAACGGAUAAAAGGUACUCCGGGGAUAACAGGCUGAUACCGCCCAAGAGUUCAUAUCGACGGCGGUGUUUGGCACCUCGAUGUCGGCUCAUCACAUCCUGGGGCUGAAGUAGGUCCCAAGGGUAUGGCUGUUCGCCAUUUAAAGUGGUACGCGAGCUGGGUUUAGAACGUCGUGAGACAGUUCGGUCCCUAUCUGCCGUGGGCGCUGGAGAACUGAGGGGGGCUGCUCCUAGUACGAGAGGACCGGAGUGGACGCAUCACUGGUGUUCGGGUUGUCAUGCCAAUGGCACUGCCCGGUAGCUAAAUGCGGAAGAGA